CAAUAGCGUAUAUUAAAGUUGUUGCGGUUAAAAAGCUCGUAGUUGGACCUUGGACCUGGACAGGCGGUCCGCCUCACGGCGAGUACUGUCUUGCUGGGUCUUUCCUCUUGGUGAUCUGUUGUUUCGGCAGCAGGGAACCAGGACCUUUACUUUGAAAAAAUUAGAGUGUUCAAAGCAGGCUCGACGCCGGAAUAUAUUAGCAUGGAAUAAUAAAAUAGGACGUGCGGUUCUAUUUUGUUGGUUUUUGGAAUCGCCGUAAUGAUUAAUAGGGACAGUCGGGGGCAUUAGUACUCACAUGCUAGAGGUGAAAUUCUUGGAUUUUGUGAAGACUAACUUCUGCGAAAGCAUUUGCCAAGGAUGUUUUCAUUAA
rnacentral:rRNA from 1 species